rnacentral:rRNA from 1 species
ACUCCCAAACCCCUGUGAACAUACCUAUUUGUUGCCUCGGCGGUGCCUGUUCCGACAGCCCGCCAGAGGACCCCAAACCCUGAUUACAUUUAAGAAGUCUUCUGAGUAAACCGAUUAAAUAAAUCAAAACUUUCAACAACGGAUCUCUUGGUUCUGGCAUCGAUGAAGAACGCAGCGAAAUGCGAUAAGUAAUGUGAAUUGCAGAAUUCAGUGAAUCAUCGAAUCUUUGAACGCACAUUGCGCCCGCUAGUAUUCUGGCGGGCAUGCCUGUCCGAGCGUCAUUUCAACCCUCAAGCCCCCGGGCUUGGUGUUGGGGAUCGGCGAGCCUCCGCGCCCGCCGUCCCCUAAAUCUAGUGGCGGUCUCGCUGUAGCUUCCUCUGCGUAGUAGCACACCUCGCACUGGGAAACAGCGCGGCCACGCCGUUAAACCCCCAACUUCUGAACGUUUGACCUCGGAUCAGGUAGGAAUACCCGCUGAACUUAAGCAUAUCAAUAAGCGG